rnacentral:rRNA from 1 species
GCAAGCGCCAGAGGGUGAGUCUGCGGCCUAUCAGGUAGUAGGUGGUGUAACGGACCACCUAGCCUAAGACGGGUACGGGCCUUGAGAGAGGGAGCCCGGAGAUGGGUUCUGAGACACGAACCCAGGCCCUACGGGGCGCAGCAGGCGCGAAACCUUCGCACUGCGCGAAAGCGCGACGAGGGGAGCCCGAGUGCCUCUCCAUUUCGGGGAGGCUUUUCACAAGCCUAAAAAGCUUGUGGAAUAAGGGCUGGGCAAGACGGGUGCCAGCCGCCGCGGUAAUACCCGCAGCUCGAGUGGUGGUCGCUUUUAUUGAGCCUAAAACGUUCGUAGUCGGCCUUGUAAAUCCCUGGGUAAAUCGGACCGCUUAACGGUUCGAAUUCCGGGGGGACUGCAAGGCUAGGGACCGGGCGAGGUCAGAGGUACUUUCGGGGUAGGAGUGAAAUCCUGUAAUCCCGAAGGGACCACCUGUGGCGAAAGCGUCUGACUUGAACGGCUCCGACGAUGAGGAACGAAGGCUAGGGGAGCAAACCGGAUUAGAUACCCGGGUAGUCCUAGCUGUAAACUCUGCCCGCUUGGUGUGGCCUGUCCUUCGGGGGCAGGCUGUGCCGGAGCGAAGGUGUUAAGCGGGCUGCUUGGGGAGUACGGCCGCAAGGUUGAAACUUAAAGGAAUUGGCGGGGGAGCACCGCAACGGGAGGAUGCGUGCGGUUUAA